UUUACUGAUGAGUUUCACCUGAGUCUCCAGCAGCUUCCUGUCUCCUGUCUCUCUGUCUCCUCGUGUCUCUGUCUGUUGGACCAAAUAUCCUGAUGUGAGGAGAACCUCAGACUGCACAUGAAGAAGAGCAACAGGACGGACCAACCAAAGUGAAGCCAGGGUGUCUGCAUCGCCACCUGCUGGCUGGCUGCAGUAUAGCUACAUGUUAGUGGAUGGGACAUGGAACAAAGACCUCCACAGAGAGGACGAGGAGCUGAAGCACAUCAGCUUCCACGUGUUUGACGUCCAUCAGAAGAAGUGCAGGAGCGUGUGCAUAUGGACCGUAGGUGGGGACAGAGAGGGAGUGUACACCAGGGCCAGACUGGUCUUAGUGGGAG